GCAAGUUUUUGGGCAGUAGAGUGAAGGAUGUCAGACUGCUGUCAAUUAUACUGUUGACACCUUGAGCACAGUGGCAGAGGACUCUACACCAGUCAGGAGAAAAAGCAUGAAAUAGUUUACUACAAGAGGUGUUCUCCUCCCCAACAAAUGAAGGCCAAACAGACAUCAGACAAGCCAUCAUGGACUAAAGACUGUUGAAUGUUUCCCACACUCCUGAAGAGAAAGAAAACUACCCUACGGUGGAAACUCCAAGUUCUUCACAUUUAUGCCAUAUAAGAUCCUCACUGUUCUGACACCCAAGAUAGAGGGGAUCAUAAUAUCAGUAACAGGCUGUGUUUACUAAUCCUGUAAAUAUUUAUGCACAUUCUUAAAGUUAAGCAGAUACUUAAAUCUCUGCAGGAUCAGAGCUCUCGGGAAAGGAACUGAUCAGAUAUAAACCAUCAUAGCUCAAUUGCUGGCUCUAGGUUUUAAAUAAUCUGGUUGAUCAGAGUAGUCAGAUUCUUAUAAAUAACAGCAAUUGAUUUUAUUUCUGGUUUCAAAACAGGAGAAUACAAUCUAUUGAAUGGGUAACUGCAUAUUAACACCAGUAUUUAAAUAUAUACUGAUUCUUACAGCUCUAUUUUGAGAUCUUUAGGA